AUCUUUUUUAAGAGUUACAACUCUUUUUCUGUGAAAAAAGAGAGAGAAAAACAACAAACACCCACUAUAUAUUACCUCUUUCAGAUCUAUUAAAGUUAGGUUUUGGGUCUCUCACUUUGUGUAUAGACAAAAAAACAACAAAUACCCACUGUAUAUUUCCUCUUUCAGAUCUAUUAAAGUUAGGUUUUUCGGUCUCUCUCACUUUGUGUAUAGACUAUAGAGAUAUGUAUCUUCGAAAAAACACUCACACACACAGUGAAGGGGUUUUUGCUGCUUUCUCUCCUCUCUCCGUGGGUUUGGGAUUUCUCUAUUGUGGGCUUCUUACUCCUUUAAUACUCGUAAAUAAAUGUGUUUUUCCUAAUCCCUUUUUUUUUUUUUUGGGGGAAAACCCUCUCUUUUCCUUUUUCUUUCUUUUCUCCCUGCCUUAAUAAAUAAAAGUUGUUAUAAAUAGAGAGAUUUUACACUUCUAUUUAAG
rnacentral:lncRNA from 1 species